CUAAAGUAAAAGAUAAAUGGUAAACAGUUAUUAAAUAAACAUCACGUGGAGGAGGCAUGUGGUAUACGUCCUCGGAUCCAAAAGGAGGAUCCGGGACCAGUCUAACCACUGACAAGCUGGACCCAAAGCGAGGUGGUGCGCGGCGGCGGGAGAGUGAUGUGUCGCGUGAUUGGUCUGAUUGGAAAUCAGUUGACGUUUGUGUCCCGCGCUGUGCAUACUAUCCCCCAUUGCCUUAUUUAAUGUUCAAGAUGUUUGCUGGUCUAUUGCUGUUUUGUAAUUCUACUGACCUCAUAGGGUAGUGCCAUAAAAUACCUACUCAGAAACUUGGUAAUUAGCCUAUCGGCAUUUUUUGUCCGCACGCAGAGUUGAAACAUAGUUUUGUAUUCUUAAUAUAUCUUGUCGGUGAUAGCCUUCAAUGCCAUAUUAUUAAAUUGUUACUGCAUAACCCAAAAUUGUUCUUAAAUAGUAUAUGCGCAUAUAUGAAGAAAUAAAAUUGAUGCACAGCCGGAGAUCGAACCUACAACCUCAGGAGCAGGAGGCUCACCUGAUGUUAACUGAUACCGCUGCCUGAGUGUCC